GUGCAGACUAAAAGACAUAGGCACAGGAGGAGGAGUGAAGCCGCUGGCAGACUGCCAGCUCCGAGCCCCUCAGGUUUCCUGACUCAGUCCCGAUACCACCAAUUGGCAAGACACGUCAAAUCCAUCCCAGGCCUGGAAUCGUCGAACAGACAACUGACCACCUAUGAAACACUAUGUGAUCAAGACACCCUUCCAGUACACUGCAUCUCAAUCCUCUAUCAAAUGAUACUACCUACGCAAAGUGGAAAUCAACCUCCAUACUUUACUAAAUAUUGGGAGAGGGACCUGGGGCAUCCACUGACGGAGGAUCAAUGGUCG